UACGUAGGGUGCGAGCGUUGUCCGGAAUUAUUGGGCGUAAAGGGCUCGUAGGCGGUCUGUUGCGUCAGGAGUGAAAACUCGGGGCUUAACCCCGAGCCUGCUUCUGAUACGGGCAGACUAGAGGUAUGCAGGGGAGAACGGAAUUCUUGGUGCAGCGGUGAAAUGCGCAGAUAUCAGGAGGAACACCGGUGGCGAAGGCGGUUCUCUGGGCAUUACCUGACGCUGAGGCGCGACAGCGUGGGGAGCAAACAGG
rnacentral:rRNA from 1 species